UACGGAGGGGGUUAGCGUUGUUCGGAAUUACUGGGCGUAAAGCGCGCGUAGGCGGACUGGAAAGUUGGGGGUGAAAUCCCGGGGCUCAACCCCGGAACGGCCUCCAAAACUAUCAGUCUAGAGUUCGAGAGAGGUGAGUGGAAUUCCGAGUGUAGAGGUGAAAUUCGUAGAUAUUCGGAGGAACACCAGUGGCGAAGGCGGCUCACUGGCUCGAUGCUGACGCUGAGGUGCGAAAGCGGGGGGAGCAAACAGG
rnacentral:rRNA from 1 species